rnacentral:tRNA from 1 species
AAUAAAGUGGUUUAGAGAAAAGAGUAUUGGAUUUGAAGUCCAAAGGCCUGGGCUUGAAUUCUGGCUCCAUUA